UGCACAAUGGGGGCAACCCUGAUGCAGCGACGCCGCGUGUGGGAGGAAGGCCUUCGGGUUGUAAACCACUGUCGGGCGGGACGAGCCGGGGGUCGUCGAACAGGCGGCUCCUCCGACGGUACCGCCCAUAGGAAGCUCCGGCUAACUCCGUGCCAGCAGCCGCGGUAAAACGGAGGGAGCAAGCGUUGUCCGGAAUUACUGGGCGUACAGAGCGCGCAGGCGGCCAGGUCAGUCGUAUGUGAAAGGCCCGGGCUCAACCCGGGCAUGCCAUGCGAUACGGCCUGGCUCGAGGCCGGCAGGGGCCAGUGGAAUUCCCGGUGUAGCGGUGGAAUGCGUAGAUAUCGGGAGGAACACCAGCGGCGAAGGCGACUGGCUGGGCCGGACCUGACGCUGCAGCGCGAAAGCGUGGGGAUCAAACA
rnacentral:rRNA from 1 species